GACGAACGCUGGCGGCGUGCUUAACACAUGCAAGUCGAACGGAAAGGCCCUGCUUUUGUGGGGUGCUCGAGUGGCGAACGGGUGAGUAACACGUGAGUAACCUGCCCUUGACUUUGGGAUAACUUCAGGAAACUGGGGCUAAUACCGGAUAGGAGCUCCUGCUGCAUGGUGGGGGUUGGAAAGUUUCGGCGGUUGGGGAUGGACUCGCGGCUUAUCAGCUUGUUGGUGGGGUAGUGGCUUACCGAGGCUUUGACGGGUAGCCAGCCUGGGAGGGUGACCGGCCACAUUGGGACUGAGAUACGGCCCAGACUCCUACGGGAGGCAGCAGUGGGGAAUAUUGCACAAUGGGCGGAAGCCUGAUGCAGCAACGCCGCGUGCGGGAUGACGGCCUUCGGGUUGUAAACCGCUUUCGCCUGUGACGAAGCGUGAGUGACGGUGAUGGGUAAAGAAGCACCGGCUAACUACGUGCCAGCAGCCGCGGUGAUACGUAGGGUGCGAGCGUUGUCCGGAUUUAUUGGGCGUAAAGGGCUCGUAGGUGGUUGAUCGCGUCGGAAGUGUAAUCUUGGGGCUUAACCCUGAGCGUGCUUUCGAUACGGGUUGACUUGAGGAAGGUAGGGGAGAAUGGAAUUCCUGGUGGAGCGGUGGAAUGCGCAGAUAUCAGGAGGAACACCAGUGGCGAAGGCGGUUCUCUGGGCCUUUCCUGACGCUGAGGGGCGAAAGCGUGGGGAGCGAACAGGCUUAGAUACCCUGGUAGUCCACGCUGUAAACGGUGGGUACUAGGUGUGGGGUCCAUUCCACGGGUUCCGUGCCGUAGCUAACGCUUUAAGUACCCCGCCUGGGGAGUACGGCCGCAAGGCUAAAACUCAAAGGAAUUGACGGGGCCCCGCACAAGCGGCGGAGCAUGCGGAUUAAUUCGAUGCAACGCGUAGAACCUUACCUGGGUUUGACAUGGAUCGGGAGUGCUCAGAGAUGGGUGUGCCUCUUUUGGGGUCGGUUCACAGGUGGUGCAUGGCUGUCGUCAGCUCGUGUCGUGAGAUGUUGGGUUAAGUCCCGCAACGAGCGCAACCCUUGUUCACUGUUGCCAGCACGUUAUGGUGGGGACUCAGUGGAGACCGCCGGGGUCAACUCGGAGGAAGGUGGGGAUGACGUCAAGUCAUCAUGCCCCUUAUGUCCAGGGCUUCACGCAUGCUACAAUGGCUGGUACAGAGAGUGGCGAGCCUGUGAGGGUGAGCGAAUCUCGGAAAGCCGGUCUCAGUUCGGAUUGGGGUCUGCAACUCGACCUCAUGAAGUCGGAGUCGCUAGUAAUCGCAGAUCAGCAACGCUGCGGUGAAUACGUUCCCGGG
rnacentral:rRNA from 1 species